CAGCAAUUGAACAAUUUGAUGCGGAUUCCGCAACAUUACAUAAUCUACAGUUUAAAUUCUUAGAAAAAUUGCAAAAAAUGGCAUUCUUCUCUUGAUCGAUGAUUUUCACAUUCUGUCCAGCAACUUUGCAACCAAAUUUACUCACGCCAUUCUAUUGGAGGAGAAGGUAAAUAAAAGUCCUCAGUGGAAGCUGAAAAAUUACUUGUCGCCGAGCCACCCACAACGCCAUGUGUUUGUGUAAUUGAUUGACCAGGUGGAAUUGGCGAAGACUCUAAUUGGGCAUUGGACGAAUCGGCGAAAAUAGAAUCCAUUAUAUUAUCAUCCAAUGGCUGCAGAAAACCAGAUACAGACGAAAAAUAUGGAGUCGUGAUAUCCAACAAAUCACCAUAAUCACCAUUAAUGUGUGUAUUAGGUUGAUACUGAUCAUUGCUUUGAAUACUAGUCUCAGGUGGAAUCUGUUAGUGCGGAAACGAAGUGUUGAAGAAAAAACUUGAAUUUUUAUUGAUAGUUUUUGAGUUGCUACAGCACACUCAAUAAUAUUUUCUUCUUUUUUUUUCUUCUUACAAUGAGACUACAAGAAUGACCUCUAUUUAUAGGACCACAUGGAUAACUCUAGAGACAUGGGAAUAUAAAUGGACACCUAAUAAUUCAUGAAUUUGCAUCAUGUAUUUUCCUGAUACAUUUUCUUCAAGUGCAUCAUGUAUUUUCCUGAUACAUUUUCUUCAAGUGCAUGUAACUUUAUUUAUUUCCUAAGAUUACAAAUUAAUGCCACAUUUAACACCUCCUCUUAAUUUGUAAUCUUGAGUUUUUCCUUGAUCUUGUCGAACUUGUCAAAUGUGACUGCCUUUGUUAAAAUGUCUGCUGGCUGAUCAUUUGUGUUGAUAAAUUCCAUGCAAAUUUCUUCUCGACUUACCAAAUCUCGAAUGAAGUGAUGACGUAGUUCAAUAUGCUUCGAUCUGGCAUGAAAAACUGGAUUUUUUGUCAUAGCAAUUGCUGACAUAUUGUCGCAAUGUAUUGUUGUUGGCUCUUGUUGUUCAAACAUCAAGUCUUUUAAAAUUCUUCUAAGCCAAACUGCUUCACAAGCGGCAUCCGCAGCUGCAAUGUAUUCCGCUUCUGCAGAAGAUAGUGCUAUAGACCUUUGCUUCCUCGAACUCCAUGAAAUAAUAUUUGUUCCAAGACAAAAGAUGUAGCCCGAUGUACUUUUGCGGUCAACAAGUGAGCCUGCCCAAUCACUGUCAGUGUAGCCAACAACGUUGAAGUUAUUUUCCUUUUUGAACUCAAUGCCUUGAUUUUUUGUACCUUUAAGGUAUCUCAAAAUUCUUUUUGCCGCCGUAAAGUUAUUCUUGCUUGGUUCAUUCAUGAACCUGGAAAGUAAACUCACUGAUUGAGUGAUAUCCGGCCUUGUGUUGAGGUAGAUGAGUGAACCAAUUAACUUUCGGUAGAGUGUAGCAUCUACUUUUUCAGCAUCAUCAUUGACUUGGAAUUUUUCAUUCGGCCCCAUUGGAGUAGAGACUGGCUUGCACUGGUUCAUGCUGAAUUUUUCUAGAAGAUCAUCAAUAUACUUCUCUUGAGAUAAAAAAAUUCUUCCCGGGCUUUGUUUGACUUGGAUGCCAAGAAAGUAUUUCAUUUGACCCAAGUCACUCAUCUCAAAGUCUCUCAUCAUCUUUUUCUUGAAUUCUUCCACCAUGCUUUUACUUGUACCAAAGUAUAGAAGAUCAUCCACAUAAAGACAUACUACAAGAAAGUCUCUUCCAAGAUUAUUGACAUAUAGAGAUGAUUCACUCGUGCUUCGAUUGAAUCCAUUUUGGAUGAAAUAGCUAUUGAUUUUGCUAUUCCAUGCUCGCGGCGCUUGCUUUAAACCAUAAAGUGCCUUGUAUAAACGAUAGACUUUUCCUUCUUGUCCUUUGAUUUCAAAUCCUUCGGGUUGCUCGACAUAAACUUCUUCUUGAAUUUCACCAUUUAAGAAUGCCGAUUUUACAUCAAGUUGAUAAACACAUACCUCCAAUUGAGCUGCCAGUGCCAAAACAGUACGAAUUGUCUCCAUUCUUGCAACCGGAGCAUAUGUUUCAGUGUAAUCAAUUUCGGGCUGUUGAGAAUACCCUUUUGCAACAAGACGUGCUUUGUGCUUUUGGAUCGACCCAUCUUCAUUGUAUUUUAUUUUAUAGACCCACUUGAGUCCAAUGAUUUUCUUCCCUUCUGGCAAGGCAACAAGCUUCCAAGUUUUGUUUUUCUCGAUUGUGGACAUUUCUUCAUUCAUGGCUUUUGUCCAACAUACUUCUUUUGAGGCUUCUUCAAAUGAUUGUGGUUCACUAGAGAACAACCCAAGUUCACAUGACUCAUAUAUGUCUUGUAGUGAACGUGUCUUUCUUGGAGGGCUUUCUGGAUCAGAUUCUUCCUCACUUCUUGGAGUAGGGUUUGGAUUAUGCUCUAAAUUUCCAACUUGUGACGGACCUGCUUGAAAUGUUAAUGGAUCAACAAAAUGGUAUGGUGUCUGGUCCACAACUUCUUUCCCUUUCCAAUCCCAAGAUGCAGCUUCAUCAAAAACAACGUCUCGUGAAACUGUAAUUUUGUUUGUAGUUGGAUCUAAUAACCGAUAUCCUUUAGAUUCAUCACUAUAUCCAACAAAGACAAGUUUUUGUCCUUUCUCGUCAAAUUUCUCCCGAUUUUGAGAAGGGAUAAGAGCAUAAGCAAUGCUGCCAAAUAUUUUGAAGUGAUCANCAUCUUCAUUGUAUUUUAUUUUAUAGACCCACUUGAGUCCAAUGAUUUUCUUCCCUUCUGGCAAGGCAACAAGCUUCCAAGUUUUGUUUUUCUCGAUUGUGGACAUUUCUUCAUUCAUGGCUUUUGUCCAACAUACUUCUUUUGAGGCUUCUUCAAAUGAUUGUGGUUCACUAGAGAACAACCCAAGUUCACAUGACUCAUAUAUGUCUUGUAGUGAACGUGUCUUUCUUGGAGGGCUUUCUGGAUCAGAUUCUUCCUCACUUCUUGGAGUAGGGUUUGGAUUAUGCUCAAAAUUUCCAACUUGUGACGGACCUGCUUGAAAUGUUAAUGGAUCAACAAAAUGGUAUGGUGUCUGGUCCACAACUUCUUUCCCUUUCCAAUCCCAAGAUGCAGCUUCAUCAAAAACAACGUCUCGUGAAACUGUAAUUUUGUUUGUAGUUGGAUCUAAUAACCGAUAUCCUUUAGAUUCAUCACUAUAUCCAACAAAGACAAGUUUUUGUCCUUUCUCGUCAAAUUUCUCCCGAUUUUGAGAAGGGAUAAGAGCAUAAGCAAUGCUGCCAAAUAUUUUGAAGUGAUCAACCAUUGGCUUCUUUUUGUUCCAAGCUUCGUAUGGAGUUUUAUUCCGUACAGCCUUUGUUGGAGACCGAUUGAGAAUGUAUACUGCCGUAUUUACAGCUUCUGCCCAAUACAGAUUUGGAAGUCCUUUGCCCUUUAGCAUGCUUCUUGCCAUUUCAACAAUUGUGCGAUUUUUUCUUUCGGCCACGCCGUUUUGUUGCGGAGUUCGACUCACAGUUAAUUGUCUUUUGAUGCCAUUUUUUCUGCAAUAUUCCAUGAAAGGAUUAUAGAGAUAUUCACCUCCACGAUCGGUCCUUAAAGUUUUUAUCAAAAAACCACUUUGCCUUUCUGCUUGAGCUUUGAAUUGAAGAAAUGUGGAAUAUGCCUCAGAUUUUUGACUGAGGAAGAAAACCCAUAUCAUUCUUGUGAAGUCAUCAACAAAGAGAAUAAAAUAUCUCUUGUUUCCAAAAGUGGGAGUUUGCAUUGGCCCACAAAUAUCCGAGUGCACAAGCUCAAGUGGUGCUUUCGUUCUCCAUGAAGUUUUUGGAAACGACAACUUGUGCAAUUUCCCAUAGAUGCAUCCUUCGCACAUUUUGUCUAUGUGUUGGAUGUUAGGAAGUCCCGUCACCAUGUUUUUCAUUUGGAGUAAACGAAGGCCUCUUUCAUGAAGAUGACCAUAUCGUAAAUGCCACAAAUACGCCAAAUCUUCGUCUCUUGCCUUGAGUGCACAAUUCUCAUUUAGUGGCAUCAUAAGAGGAAAUGUCUUGUUCUUCAUUUCAAUAUUUGCCACACAAAUAUUUUUCUUUUUGUCAAAAACUUUACAUGCACCAUCAUCAAAGUGGACAGAGAAGUCACUUUGAAUAAGUUGUCCAACACUUAGGAGAUUAUGAGAAAGAUUGGGAACAUAAAGAACAUCUGUGAUGAGUUUCUUGUUACCUUCUUUAAUUUGGACAGCAAUGGUGCCUUUUCCUACCGCAUCUCUACAUGUUCCAUCGCCAAGAAUUACUUGUGAAGUAAUAUUUGGAUUAAGGUCCACAAAGAUGUCGCGAUUCCCCGUCAUGUGAUUGCUACAACCGCUAUCCAAAUACCAAGGGCUUUGAGCUCCAUUUUCAUAAUUUUGAGAAUAAAACAGAAUUUCCUUUUCAUUCUCUUGAGAAAAGUUUGCUGCACUUUUUCUUUCUGUCAUCUCUUUAUUUUGAAACCAACAAUCCCUUUGAGAAUGAUUGGGGAUCUUGCACCUUUUGCAUCUAAAGUAGCACUCCUUUGAUUCAUGAUUCAUUUUUUUGCAAAUUAUGCAAGUUGGAUUGUUACCACCAGAAAUUUGUGUUUGCUUGCCUUUCCAUUUGCUUUGCUUGUCACCCUUCUUCCAAUAGCUAUCUUUUUGUUUUGUUUGAUUUGAGCCUCUGUUGUGUUCUCCAUAGUUGUUCGAUCCUCCUUUUGAUGUUUGCUUUGAUUGGAAAGCUUGUUCGGUAGUAGAUUGGUUACUCGAACGAUUGAUCCUUUGCUCAUGGGCAAGAAGUGACCCGGUUAACUCAUAAAUGGUUAUUUUGGACAAGUCUUUCGAUUCUUCAAUUGCGGCUGCAACAUGGUCAAACUUUGGAGGAAGGCAUCUUAACAUUUUCUCAACGACUCUUUUAUCUGUAAUUGUGUCACCACAGCUUUUGAUUUGAUUUACUAUCUCAGCUACUCGUGAAGAAAAAACACGAAUCGAUUC
rnacentral:lncRNA from 1 species